rnacentral:rRNA from 1 species
CCUACGGGUGGCAGCAGUGGGGAAUAUUGCGCAAUGGGGGGAACCCUGACGCAGCAACGCCGCGUGAAGGAAGAAGGCCUUCGGGUCGUAAACUUUUGUCAUUGGGGACGAUAAUGACGGUACCCGAUGAGGAAGCCACGGCUAACUACGUGCCAGCAGCCGCGGUAAUACGUAGGUGGCGAGCGUUGUCCGGAUUUACUGGGUGUAAAGGGCGUGUAGGCGGGGUAGCAAGUCAGAUGUGAAAUACCAAGGCUUAACCUUGGGGGUGCAUUUGAAACUGUUACUCUAGAGUGUGGGAGAGGAAAGUGGAAUUCCUAGUGUAGCGGUGGAAUGCGUAGAUAUCAGGAGGAACACCGGUGGCGAAGGCGGGUCUCUGGGCAGUAACUGACGCUGAGGAGCGAAAGCGUGGGGAGCGAACAGGAUUAGAUACCCUUGU